AUCAGGAGCAAGCGAUAUAUUUUAUCUAAAAUUUAAAUACUUUAAGACUUCUCCAGAGAGUGGUCAAGUUCAGAAAAUCACUAAAAACAAAAACAGAAAAGAGGACAAGAACAGAAAGGUUAAAAAACAUUAUAUUGGAUUUCUUUCAGAGCAGUGCUCCUGCUUCAGCCAGUAGAAGUGAAUUAGUAAGAAAAUUGGCCUGUGACUACAGUUUUUAUUUCUGGAAAAUCAGUGUCUUCCACAUCCUAUUAAAUUCAAGGACCUUGGCACACACCAAACUCUACAGGAAACUGCAGCUCAAAGGCCCAUGGUGAGUGUGGGAUCCGGGUCUUGGACGAAGCUUCAGCGUGUGAAAAAGAGGUAGAUAUGGGUC
rnacentral:lncRNA from 1 species